CUGCGUUAAGGAUUAAAGCGUAAAUCCUUUUUUAAGGAUUGCCCUGAGCUUGCGAUGGGAAAUUCAAUCCUUAAAAAAGAUUGCAGCGGAAAGCCUGGCGAUGG
rnacentral:sRNA from 1 species